rnacentral:rRNA from 1 species
GACGAACGCUGGCGGCGUGCCUAAUACAUGCAAGUCGAGCGAAUCAAUAGGAGCUUGCUCCUGUUGGUUAGCGGCGGACGGGUGAGUAACACGUGGGCAACCUGCCUGUAAGACUGGGAUAACACCGGGAAACCGGUGCUAAUACCGGAUAAUCCUUUUCCUCUCAUGAGGAAAAGCUGAAAGUCGGUUUCGGCUGACACUUACAGAUGGGCCCGCGGCGCAUUAGCUAGUUGGUGAGGUAAUGGCUCACCAAGGCGACGAUGCGUAGCCGACCUGAGAGGGUGAUCGGCCACACUGGGACUGAGACACGGACCAGACUCCUACGGGAGGCAGCAGUAGGGAAUCUUCCACAAUGGACGAAAGUCUGAUGGAGCAACGCCGCGUGAGCGAUGAAGGCCUUCGGGUCGUAAAGCUCUGUUGUUAGGGAAGAACAAGUACCGGAGUAACUGCCGGUACCUUGACGGUACCUAACCAGAAAGCCACGGCUAACUACGUGCCAGCCGCCGCCGUAACAC